rnacentral:rRNA from 1 species
GAUAAACGCUGGCGGCGUGCAUGAGACAUGCAAGUCGAACGGACGUUCAGGGCUUGCUCUGAACGUUAGUGGCGGACGGCUGAGUAACGCGUAGGUGACCUGCCCCGAAGUGGGGAAUAACUGCCCGAAAGGGUAGGCUAAUACCGCAUGUGGUGGUGCCUUCAUGGGCACCAGUAAAGCCGCAAGGCGCUUCGGGAGGGGCCUGCGUCCGAUUAGCUCGUUGGUGGGGUAACGGCNCACCAAGGCGACGAUCGGUAGGUGGUCUGAGAGGACGAUCACCCAGACUGGGACUGAGACACGGCCCAGACUCCUACGGGAGGCAGCAGUCGGGAAUUUUGCGCAAUGGACGAAAGUCUGACGCAGCAACGCCGCGUGAGGGAUGACGGCCU